rnacentral:rRNA from 1 species
GACGAACGCUGGCGGCGUGCUUAACACAUGCAAGUCGAACGAAGAGCGAUGGAAGCUUGCUUCUAUCAAUCUUAGUGGCGAACGGGUGAGUAACGCGUAAUCAACCUGCCCUUCAGAGGGGGACAACAGUAGGAAACGACUGCUAAUACCGCAUACGAUCUAAUCUCGGCAUCGAGGAUAGAUGAAAGGUGGCCUCUACAUGUAAGCCAUCACUGAAGGAGGGGAUUGCGUCUGAUUGGGUAGUUGGAGGGGUAACGGCCCACCAAGGCGAUGAUCAGGAGCCGGUCUGAGUUGAUGAACGGCCACAUUGAGACGGUGACACGGCCCAGACGCAUUGAGGAGGGAGCAGUGGGGAAUCUGGCGCAAGGGGCGGGAGUCUGACGGAGCAACGCGGCGUGAGGAAUGACGGCCUUCGGGUUGUAGAGGUCGGUUAUUCGGGACGAAAGGGCUUCUUGCGAACAGUUAGAAGGAUUGACGGUACCGGAAAAGAAAGCCACGGCUAACUACGUG